ACAGAACUAACUGAAAGGAUGCAGUUUGUGAGCCGUAAUAUUACCAUUCUUGCUUGGCCAGUGGAGUUGAAAAGCCUUUGUGCUCUUUGAACUCACCUCAGAUUGAGCAUAUUUCAAGUUAUUUAUGAUUUCUUGAACUGGGUUACACAGGGGAUAGUUCACUAAAAUAGCAUCUUUUACAAGAAGUGGUUUGUUUAAUUUCAGACUACUGCUGUUGUUCAGAGGAAGACCAACAAUCCGACAAUGGUCAAUCCGAGACUGGUGAUGGAUGAUUUCCCGAAGCCAGCCACAUAGAGGACAAAGAAUAGAGAUUCGCUAAGGCUCUCCAACAAAGCUUAGUUUUCAAUUUAAAUCCUCUGCAUGAACUUGAGAACAAAUUCCCCCCUCUUCCUUUCUCCUUUCAUGCUUUGGACAGAUCACACAACAAGGAGCGGCAUUGACCGAUAUGUUAUGUUUGCAAGAACCUUAUCCCAAUAGGCUCUUCCGGACAUUUUCAAUAUAGGUCCAAUCAUUUCUGGAGACAGAAUUAUUGUCCCUCACACGCAUAUGACGGAACCCGUCGUUGUUACAGUUGUCGGAGGUUGG